UCCAAACGGGUGCAGUUUAGGGGGAUAUCAACCACGGGAGAAUCCCAUCGUCCGGGUAUCGAGCAGGCGGAGCUUGAGCCGGGUGUGACAAAAGCCUCGGCCUUCGCAACGGGGCAGCUGAGAAAGUCAGCAGUGUCGUUCGAGCGGCUGGAGCUGAUGAUAUUCUACAGCUCCGGAUCCUUUGUUGUUCGACUGGAAGAGUACUGUUGUUGUUGUGCUAUGGAACCAGUGCUCAAGGAUGGUUGGAGCUCCGAGGGUGUAGUGCGGUAGUUUUUUUCUGGAUUGUGGCACGGAGGUCGAGGCUGAGUGGUUUCUAGCAACGGCAUUUCGAGGUUCUCCCUCCCUAUUCCUGUUUUGUUGGUUGAGUAGCGAGCUCCAGUCAUUUCCUGGUUAGACCCUGUGGUGGUGAGCUGCUGGAGCGUCCGUCAUCAAAGAUGCCUUGUCCCCCUUCUCUUCCGUUGCAUUACGGCGGCAAGGUUGAACAUUGGAUAGGAAUCGGAUUGCUGUGGUCAACGUCCCUGAAGCUUCACUUAGAGAAGUUAUGGCUGCAUCGGUGGUGGCGGAUCUGGAGCUUGGCUCUCCUAGCACCUUGCGUUUUGCUCGUGGGAGCCACCUGCUCCUAGCUCUCUUAAUUGGCUGUCUCCACCUCCACCGUUACCUUGAACAACGUCUGGUUCUGAUUUGAUGCGGUUGGAGUGAAGUGGAGCAUCGACAAGUUGUGUUCCCUCAUUCCUUUAAGCAACUAGUCGUGAUCCGGUGCUUCUACAACAAGACUCAUUCGACUGCUGUGGGGUUGUGGCUACAAAGUUCAGCCGAAACACUAGAACGAUGGAUCGACAUCAGCAUUGUCAAAUUCGUGUGGACAACCCUAGUAUUUAGAUCUUGGUAUCGUAAUCAGCAACCUAAUUGACUUAGCCAAGUAGCCAGGAUAGCGGAAUUUAGUAGUUGGAACGUAGAGUUAAUUUGAAUUGUGUAAGGAAGCAGUGACUUCCAGUGGCAGUGCUCUACGUGAAUGGAAAGAGUGGACAACUGAGGGACAACAACGGUGAAGGCGUUGGCGUCGUGGGAGGGAUUCCCAGGAAGCAAUUGGACUCAGUCGCAAACAUCGUUGAGUGCGAUAGCGGCGUGAAGAUAUGAGCUGGACAACACCUCAAGCUCACCUUUUAGCAUCCAGAAGGUGAUAGCCUUGUAUGGGAUGGAGUUCUUAGAUUUGAAUAAACCCAGAAUAUGAUGAAAUUUAAACAUAAUUGACGUUUACAAUGGAUGAUAACUGA